rnacentral:rRNA from 1 species
GAUGAACGCUGGCGGCGUGCUUAACACAUGCAAGUCGAACGGAAAGGCUCCUGCUUGCAGGGGUACUCGAGUGGCGAACGGGUGAGUAACACGUGGGUGAUCUGCCCUGCACUUCGGGAUAAGCCUGGGAAACUGGGUCUAAUACCGGAUAGGAAGAUGGUUUGGAUGCCAUUGUGGAAAGUUGUUCGGUGUGGGAUGAGCUCGCGGCCUAUCAGCUUGUUGGUGGGGUAAUGGCCUACCAAGGCGUCGACGGGUAGCCGGCCUGAGAGGGUGUACGGCCACAUUGGGACUGAGAUACGGCCCAGACUCCUACGGGAGGCAGCAGUGGGGAAUAUUGCACAAUGGGCGCAAGCCUGAUGCAGCGACGCCGCGUGGGGGAUGACGGCCUUCGGGUUGUAAACUCCUUUCGCUAGGGACGAAGCGCAAGUGACGGUACCUGGAGAAGAAGCACCGGCUAACUACGUG